UACGGGAGGCAGCAGUGGGGAAUAUUGCACAAUGGGCGAAAGCCUGAUGCAGCAACGCCGCGUGAGGGAUGACGGCCUUCGGGUUGUAAACCUCUUUUAGCAGGGAAGAAGCGAGAGUGACGGUACCUGCAGAAAAAGCGCCGGCUAACUACGUGCCAGCAGCCGCGGUAAUACGUAGGGCGCAAGCGUUAUCCGGAAUUAUUGGGCGUAAAGAGCUCGUAGGCGGUCUGUCGCGUCUGCUGUGAAAUCCCGAGGCUCAACCUCGGGCCUGCAGUGGGUACGGGCAGACUAGAGUGCGGUAGGGGAGAUUGGAAUUCCUGGUGUAGCGGUGGAAUGCGCAGAUAUCAGGAGGAACACCGAUGGCGAAGGCAGAUCUCUGGGCCGUAACUGACGCUGAGGAGCGAAAGGGUGGGGAGCAAACAGGCUUAGAUACCCUGGUAGUCCACCCCGUAAACGUUGGGAACUAGUUGUGGGGUCCUUUCCACGGAUUCCGUGACGCAGCUAACGCAUUAAGUUCCCCGCCUGGGGAGUACGGCCGCAAGGCUAAAACUCAAAGGAAUUGACGGGGACCCGCACAAGCGGCGGAGCAUGCGGAUUAAUUCGAUGCAACGCGAAGAACCUUACCAAGGCUUGACAUACACGAGAACGGGCCAGAAAUGGUCAACUCUUUGGACACUCGUGAACAGGUGGUGCAUGGUUGUCGUCAGCUCGUGUCGUGAGAUGUUGGGUUAAGUCCCGCAACGAGCGCAACCCUCGUUCUAUGUUGCCAGCACGUAAUGGUGGGAACUCAUGGGAUACUGCCGGGGUCAACUCGGAGGAAGGUGGGGAUGACGUCAAAUCAUCAUGCCCCUUAUGUCUUGGGCUUCACGCAUGCUACAAUGGCCGGUACAAAGGGCUGCGAUACCGUAAGGUGGAGCGAAUCCCAAAAAGCCGGUCCCAGUUCGGAUUGAGGUCUGCAACUCGACCUCAUGAAGUCGGAGUCGCUAGUAAUCGCAGAUCAGCAACGCUGCGGUGAAUACGUUCCCGGGUCUUGUACACACCGCCCGUCAAGUCAUGAAAGUCGGUAACACC
rnacentral:rRNA from 1 species